rnacentral:rRNA from 1 species
UGGGGAAUAUUGGACAAUGGGCGCAAGCCUGAUCCAGCAAUGCCGCGUGUGUGAAGAAGGCCUUCGGGUUGUAAACUGCUUUUGUACGGAACGAAAAGCCCUUCUCUAAUACAGAGGGGUCAUGACGGUACCGUAAGAAUAAGCACCGGCUAACUACGUGCCAGCAGCCGCGGUAAUACGUAGGGUGCGAGCGUUAAUCGGAAUUACUGGGCGUAAAGCGUGCGCAGGCGGUUAUGUAAGACAGUUGUGAAAUCCCCGGGCUCAACCUGGGAAUUGCAUCUGUGACUGCAUAGCUAGAGUACGGCAGAGGGGGAUGGAAUUCCGCGUGUAGCAGUGAAAUGCGUAGAUAUGCGGAGGAACACCGAUGGCGAAGGCAAUCCCCUGGGCCUGCACUGACGCUCAUGCACGAAAGCGGGGGGAGAAAAAA